rnacentral:rRNA from 1 species
UACGGGGGGGCAAGCGUUGUUCGGAAUUACUGGCGUAAAGGGCUUGUAGGUGGCCAACUAAGUCAGACGUGAAAUCCCACGGCUUAACCGAGGAACUGCGUCUGAUACUGGAUGGCUUGAGUGUGGGAGAGGGAUGCGGAAUUCCAGGUGUAGCGGUGAAAUGCGUAGAUAUCUGGAGGAACACCGGUGGCGAAGGCGGCAUCCUGGACCAUGACUGACACUGAAAAGCGAAAGCCAGGGAGCAAACGGG